CUUUUUUUAAAAGUUCAAAUAUUGGAGUUCCUGUUGUGGCGCAGCAGAAAUGAAUCUGACUAGGAACCAUGAGGUUGUGGGUUUGAUCCCUGGCCUUGCUCAGAGGGUUAAGGAUCUGGAAUUGCUAUGAGCUGUAGUAUAGGUCACAGAGGCGGCUCAGAUCUGGCGUUGCUGUGCCUCUGGUGCAGGCCAGCAGUGGCAGCUCCAAUUGGACCCCUAGCCUGGAAACCUACAUAUGCCGUGGGUGUGGCCCUGAAAAGACAAAAGACAAGAAAAAAAAAACAGAAUUUUAUUUCCAUAUUGAAUCAAUGUAAUAUCUUCACUGAGGCAAUUAAUGUGGAUAAAUGGAACUAUAUAGAAGUUUGCUAAAACAUAACUUUGCUAAACCAUACACAAGUUUAAUUCUAUUUGAUUUUCUUAAAAUGAACAGUACCAAAACAAGGGGAGGAAAUGGGAUUGACUGUCCACAUUCUGAAGUAAAAUGAACAUAUUUUGUCAUUUACAUAUAUUUCUCCAGCUUUUCACAUCUGCAGCAUUGUUUGUAGUAAUAAAAAGCAGUCACCAAUACUACCGCAAUAUUUUCUAACCCAAAGUGCGUUUAAGUGGUCAUCUAAAAUUGUUUCACAUAAAAUGUUAAAUCCCAAUGCUACAGAGACAAGUCUUAGAGCCACUAAAAGUACUGGCACUUAGUAAACAAAGAGUUAUUGAUGCAGAAUGGACUCUAUAUGAUGUCGCCAGAAAAUAAAGAACAAUAAAGGUGGUGCCAUCACACUGUGGAGACUCAGGAUUAUGGUCAUCCCAUGUUAGUCAGAACUGACACAACUUUCUGCUUCCCAACCUUUCUUCCCAUUACUCAGCUUUCAUGCCUCUGCUUUCCUAUUCGUUCUCUCCUUUUCCCAUUCACUCACUCAUAACACUUAGCCACCAUUCCUGUGGCUUACAUGCUCUUGUCUUUCUUUAAUAUGUAUUGAUAUUUUGUAGAAUUUCAAACAAGCAUAUGAAGACAUUCUAACCUUCUUUCUUUAGGACUCUCAUGGCUUUUCAUCACAUAUUUGUCUUCUCCUUUCUCCAUCCUUAGAGCUCUAGUUCCUUUUCUUUUUUGUCAUCCCCAAGUUGUUCUUCCAAGUUAGCUUCCAACAAAACACAAAAGAUAAAAAUAACAAGUAUUACAUAUAAAUGCAGGGGAAAAAUGCAGAAGAAAGAAAAGGUAGUGCCAUAAAAUGGAACAAGCAAAGAAUGUAUGCCCUGGACCACCAGGUAGACAGUGUUCACUGCAGACCUGCCUUCAGCUUUCCAGUAGACAAGAUAGAAGUGUUCUAGGCACUAUCCUCAGUAUCCAGAGCAUGCAUUUCUCAAAAUAACAACAAAUGUCUGUGGUACUAACAGAAAGAUUUCUCUUGGUGGUACAAACAGAAGGAUCAGUGCAGAAGGUGGCUUGGAAUUCACUGGGAACUUUUAAGAACCACCAGUUAAAGCCCCACCCCCAGAUCAGUUAAAUCAGAAUUUUUGUAGGUAAAACCCCCAAAUUAUUGUUAAAAAGCAUUAGAAAUAAUUAUAAGGUGCCUCAGCAUUGAGAAGACCUCAUCUAGAUUAGAGAAGACUGGAUCCUACACUUGAAACAGCUAAAUACCCUAUGUAUGUGCUUGCCAGUGUGAUUCCAUUAGGUGUUCUGAUAUCUAAAUCAAAGAAUUUGACUUAGCUACUUUAAAGAAUCUAUCAUUUUGCAGUAUUUUUCUCCUAUUCUUCUACCAGUGGAUUUUUACCUCUAAUAGCUCUCAUGCUGCACAUUUUCCAUAAUAUGCUAAGAUAUACAUGAAUUGUCACCUGUGGUCCUCAUAAUUAAUGGUCAGUUCUGGCAAUGUGAGCCAGACACUUUGUAUGACUAAAUUCUGGACCCCAGGAGGUACAUUUAGUCUUUCAGACAAUAAUUGAAUAAAAUUGCUCUUGUCAUAAAUCACUAGCCAUUGACAUUAGAAAGCACAUUCUUUUAUUACUUAACUCUUUCUUAAGCCCCAAGAAUAUGAUUGUUUUAAAAAAUAAGGCUAUGAGGAAAAAAGCAUUUCCAGUAGUAAAAGGGAAAUCAGCUAAUAGAAUUACCUGAUGAAGAUUGUAAUUCAGAUAAAGAAAAAUAUUCAAUGCUGUCACAAAAAAAAAAAAAAAUCCCCAAAUACCAAAAACGACUGCUUGAAAAUAAUUCAGUUGGCUUAAUUAGUAACUGUUUAUUAUCUGUUACCAAAUAUGGGAACUGUUUUAGAGUUAAUGAAAGCCUGAUUACUUAUUUCAAGGAUUCAUAUGCAGAGUCAUACUGGGCAUUGUAGAGCAGAUGUAAUGCUAUGUGCAACCUGAAACUAUCACAGCAAUUGCCUCUUCACUGGAUUGGGUAACCAGAUGCACAAGUCAUACCCUUUAAGAAGCAAAACUGCUGAAUAUUAGGAUCACUUUAAUUUUAAAGUAAUAGUACCAUAUUUGGGAGAUGUUCAAAUCCUUGGUGAUACAGGAUAUUAAUGACCAGUGAAAAUUCAAGAAAUAGCAGCCUACAAAUAAGUUCCUAUAUCGUUUCUUUUUAUUCACAAAGAAUUAGGAGAUAAGGAGAUGAAGUUAGAGAAUUUUAUAUUAUCACUCUGCUAGUUUCAUUGGUAACUUCUGUGCUGGAAUCACAUGGGGAAUUGCUCUGAUUGCAAUUUCCAACUGUGCUGAAUCUCUGAGUGAUUAAGACUUGUUAAUAGUGGUGAAGAGUCAAUAAGACUGCUCACAGAUUUGAAUGGCAACAUUGAACAGUCAGAACAAAACCAAAUUGUUUUAAUGGAGUAAUUUUAAUUCACACAUAGUGUGACAGCUGAUGUCAGAAGAAAGUCUUCUGUUUAUGUUUCAGAUGGUUAUGAUGGUUAUAUUAUUACUUGGGUGAUUUGAUAGAAUCCACAUGGCUUAUGCAAAAUAAGACAUGGCAGAUGCACAGGCAGAAGAAAAUGCACUUGUGAUAGUGCUGACUAAAGUUUUGCCCUUGAAAACUGAUGGGAGUGGCAUUUCCUUCCUGAUACAGAUAUCAUCAUAAUGCUUUGGAUUCUUAGUAUCCUCAAGCAAUACUGUUAAUAUUGUUUUGUAUUAUUUUACUUUAAACUACAACUGUUCCAUGUCGAUUCCUUGAAUAAUUUCCUGUGUUCCAAUCGAAGUAUUUAGUUCCUCUGACUUGUACCAACUAUUUUCAAUGAUACAUUCACAGAUUACCAGUAAAUUCAGUACUUUAGGUCAACAGGAGGCACCGACUGUAAAUAAAGCAUGAAUACAUGAAAACUAUCCUAACCAUAUUUUAAACAUUUUGUGCAAUUUACAUAACGUGCUUGAAUAAUGGACACCAUGUAAUGAGGCUCAUUAUGUGCCUGAAAUGUGCUAAAUGGUCUACCAGGUCAUUUGGUCCUCACAACAACUCAAUGAAAAUAGCAUGGGUUAUUUUUGCCAUUUUAUGGAGGAGAAUAUUAAGGCUCAAGGAGACAAGAGUACUUUGCUUAAACUCUCACAAACAAUAAUGGUAGGCUUCAAGGUUACUUCAUAUAAUAAAGAAGUUCAUGCAUUUUCCACGGAGCUAAAAUGGACUUCUUCCUAAUCUUUCUCUUUUUCUCAGAAAAAAUUUUCUUUACUACACAAUCUAUGCAUAACCCCUGAAAACAAGACUGGAAUUAGAUUGUUUAUGAGGAUUCCUUUCACCUCCAAAAAUUUUUAGAAAUUUUUGACAUGGAAUUGAUGAGAUUUUCUCCUUUUAAGUCAUUUUUUUAAACUGUGCUUUUUAGUAAAAGCCAAGUAAUCGAUUAUGGACAAAGAAAAUCAAAUAAUCCUUGUGGUUGAUGACAUUUUUAGGCCAUGCAGACUUCAAGUAGCUGGAAGAGACCACCAGAGAAGAAAGAAUUCCCUUUUAUUCCUGUAUAUUAAUAGCACAUAACUAGCUUUAGCAAAAUCCGUAACAAUAGCACUACCUCUCACUAUUUCAGACAGAGCUGAAAAAAAAUGUGGAUAGGUUAAAUGUUCUAAAAUGUAUUAUAAAAUUACAUGUCACAGCAGCUGAAAGCCAAUUUCCAUUACAACAUAGCUCACUGUGUAAGAGUUGAAUCAUCUCUAUUUUGGUAACUGUUCUUUAUCACUAAAGAUAAUUCAUGCUAUAUUUUCAUCCUUAUGAUGGAGGCAAGAGGAUCACCCCAAAGUUUUGACCUACAAAAUUACAAUUGAUAAAGCAGAUUGAAGAAAUAGUGAUAGAUAUUCCGGUUCUUUCAUUGAGUUUAUGGCUGGGGCUUUUGACAGAAAAGAUUUAAUUUAAAUAGAUUACCAACCAGUCGUCUUCCUGACAUUACUACCUGAAUAUUAUUUGGUUUACAUGUAUCAGUCUCUGACUCUUCAUAGGCAAUGAUAAAAUAUUUACUGAGUAAAAUGAGUGAAUGAGAAGUCUUUGCUUUUUACAUUGCUACAUGAUAAGAUCAGAGGGUAUAUAGAUAUGAAUAAUUGCAAUCAGUCAUUGUAUGGCACUUUCUAUUCAUACACACAUGGUAUAAAAUUGGGGGAAGAAAAAAGGAGCCACAGGUAUUUUACUGUUUUUUUCUAUUAUUAUUAUCAUCACCUCAUUUGUAAAACAUCAAAUGAAGGUCCAAGUGACUGAUUCAGAUUGCAACUUUAGUCUCCAUGUCAAGAGAUUAGAGUGCUAUCCAUCUGAAACUACUGCAUUUAUGUAGAUAAUUGAGUUAACCCUUCACUUCUAGCAGGUGCUAUUAAAUAGAACAGAUUGAAUUCUCAAAGAAAGUACUCAAUCCCUCCUCCCAACCUUCCUUCCUUUGGUAUUAGAUUAUGCAGCAAACUCAAAGGACCUACCACAAGUCUAGAUUGUGAUGCCAUCUAGAACCCAGGUACUCUUAAAGAGGAACAGGUACUGCCCCCAAAGAAAGGACUCAUUCUCUACCUUAGCACUUAUGCUUAGAGUUUAAGAAUAUUCAGCUUGAAUGGUGAGAAGGUAAUAGCAGUUGAGGAAGCAUGAUUAUAGACAUGUUGAAGAAGCCCUAACUUGCUUCCUAGGAUCAGGAAACACUAUUGUAAAUGAGGAUAGCUUAGCUUCACUGCAAUCAACAUGACCAGAUCUCCAGUUCUCCACUGUCCAAGACAGUAUUAUAUGAGAGGAAUAUAUGAUGGGAAAAGAUGUCAACACUUUAUCCCAAUGUCAAAAUGUACUGUGAUUUCUCCAGUUGUGCUUUUCUACAAGUGUUGUUAUUGUUGUUUUAACUUGACCCCUGACAACUUUACUGCAUACAUUUUCAAAUUCCCUUUGUUCUUGUUUUGCGUCCUCUCCUCAAAACACUGCUAUUUAUAAACUACUAAAUGUUCCUCUCUCCUAAAUACUGCCCACCAGAGUUCUUCUUGUGAAAUGACCUUGGUUUUUUAAAAAACUGGCAUUUGGUUAGAGGUUGCACCUAAUAAUUUUAGAAAACCUUAAGUUUUAUGUGAAUCAAAGUGAAAUUGAAGAAAAAAGACAGGAAAUACCCCUAAUAAAUUGAAAUCUGUAGAAAAAACAUGGCGGAAGAUGUAGAAAAUAUAAAUUGGAUAUACACAAGCUGUUAUCUGAAGCCAGAUUUCCAGUUGCUCUAUGAUACCCCCAAGCACUUCUAUCCUCCCCUAAGUUAUAGCCUCAUGAAACACCAAACAAAAUACAAACCAGAAAACGUUACUACUACAUUUUAAUAAUUCACAACUAUUUUGAUAUUUCUGAAACUGUGCUGCCUAUUGCAAUCAAUGGCAUCUUAAAACUAAUUGAUAACGUCUUUAAUGGUACAUGAGAUUAUGAUACAUUGUACAAUUGAUGGCAUUUUAGAACCAAUUAUUAUUGACAAUCAUAGUUAUUAUUAACAAUCAUAGUUAAUAGUAAUCUUCCCUAGCCAGGAAUGAUUUUCAUAAACCAAUCCAUAUUAUUCAGGAUACUAGAAAUUUCUCAUUCCUCACAUGUCAUUGCUACCUCAUAACUAUAGUUUUUUUUCCAGUUUCUAUGGCAGAAAAAUCAACCAACACAACAUGAUUUCUCUUUGUCUUUAAAUAAUCAGUUGUUUGAAAGAGUCUUAAGCAUCAAUUUGGGUGAGGACUCAAAGGUUUUAAAUUGCCAUCUUAUCCAUGCCAGAUGCCACUUCUGCAUUGUUUUAGAAGCUCCUGGAGUAUAUUUAUAGAUGCCUUGUUUGCUCUUAAGCAUGUUGCUAAGUUUCUAUAUGCUGCUAGUUAGGAGUAUUUUCAGAUAUGCUAUAGCAGCAAGCUGCCCUGCAAUUCAGCCUUACAUUCCUUAAGAAUGUGAUUUUUGAAUUAAAACAAAACAAAACAAACAAAAAAAAAAA
rnacentral:lncRNA from 1 species